GCCAACCAGCCUGCCUGCAGCCCAACCCGACACCGACAAGACACCAACGAGACGGCCAUACCGCGGACAAGACAACCGUACCGCGACGACAUCAUGUACAGUGUCACUUGUCCCCUGGCACUAUUUAUGAAGUGACCCAGGGGACAAGCAUGACAUGCACCAUGCCUUGUCCAUGCCACUACAUAGCUUAGGAAGUAAGCUAGCCCACACUAUAAAAGGGGCACACAUCCAUCCAUCCACUCACUCACGCCACAUUCAUUUGGCCACAAGGCCACUCACGGCCACAAGCCCUGGCCAUACUUGGCCACUAGAGCCGGCCAUACGCAUGCAUAUACAAGAUCAGAUGCCCCUGGCACUGAUCUCAGAUACAGCUCCAGGAGCACUUUGUACCAGAUAUAUCAUAUAUACUCAGACAUGCAGGAGUACGGGUAUUAUCUCUCCGGAGAGCCCCGAACCUGGGUAACUAGCGUGUGCUACUCCAUACCCGCUCCCAGUCCUAUCAGCAGCAGUCUUACCCUCACACUAAGCCCUUGUGGCAUCUGUCGACUCGGAAGCCCCCCGUGAGAAUACCACGACAGUUGGCGCCCACCGUGGGGCGGUACUAUGCUACCGCGCUGCUGCUGGUUUUGCAGUCCGGGCGGGACCCCUUUUUCUUCAUCGCCUCGGCCGCGGCGUCGCGCCGUCUCUUAGGUAGCGCUCCGGGGCUCGACAUCGAUCCGCCCCAGAGCGGCCGCGAGGGGUGGCAUGUCCUCACCGUCGGCCUCUUCAUCAUCACCAGCGCAACGCUGGCCGCCCGUCCGCGUGCGCGCCGCGCCGGGCCUUGCUUCGGUCGACCGCGUUCAUCCACGCACCGCUCGCGUAUGCUCCCCUCGCUGCUGCGCUUUGUUCCGGCCGAAAUGCAUGUUCGCUCCUCCAUAUUUCAUCUACGCAAGCUAGCUAGAUGCAAGUCAAAGAGUGGUCAUACACCAACUCUUCGUACACUAUCCAAAUACAAGUUGGAUAGUGCUUGUAUGAUGGUCAGACAAUAGCCGGACAUUGGUCAGAUACUAGCUGCUCAUUUGCCUCCUCCUGCGACACCGCUGCACCAUGCACCUCGCCCAGACCUGGCCAAACGGGCCGGCCCGGCACGGCACGGCACGGCCCGUGCUAAUCGUGCCUGGCCCGGCACGGCCCGCCAUGGCACGUUUAAUAGCCGGGCCGUGCCGUGCCGGCCCACGGGCGCUGCUCCUUGGCCCAGGCACGGCCUGAUUAGUAAACGGGCCGGCCCGAUGGCCCGUUUAGCACGCUGGGCUGCACAUUUUCAGCCUGCUGGGCUGGUAUUUAGGCCUAUUGGGCUGUAUUUUAGGUAUAUAUAUAUAUGUAAAAAUCUAAAAAAUAUAUAUAAAAAAUUAAACGGGCCGUGCCGUGCCGGCCCGCGUGCCCAGGCUCCAGGCCCAGGCACGGCCCAAGGCGUGUCGCGUGCCGGGCACGGCCCGUUUAGCCCGUGUCGUGCCUGGCCCAUGGCGGGCCGUGCCGGCGUGCUCGCGGGCCGGCCUGUUUAGCCCGGCCCGUUUGGCCAGCUAUAACCUCGCCUGCUCUCCACGAGCGUCCGAGGCUUCUCGCCCUGCCGUCCGCACAGCCGCAGCGUGACUCGCGCCAUCACCAAGCUCGCAGACGCCCUCUCCCUCACUCUGUUUCGCUUUUCUCUCGCGCGGCUGUACAAACGAAAUACAGAGAGUUUGCUUCCUCCGCUACUCGGCCAGGCACCCGUGGCCCGCUCGCUCCGACCGGCUCCGGGUCGCCGCCCGUGUGCUGCCUCCCAGCCGCCUCGCUGCCCUGCCUGCCGGUUGCGCGCCAUGGCCGGCUCCUCCUCGUCACCACCACGCCGGCUGGAAGACCCCGCGCGGCCGUGCGNNNNNNNNNNGGCUCGCCGCCUCCGCCCGGUUGCGCCUCGCGCGCCCGGCUCGGUGCGCUCGCGACCCGCCCCCAUCCGGCUCCUCCUCUGGCCGGCUUCGCCCGCCCGCCUACUGGCGCGUCAGCGCCCUCAUCACCUCCCGCGCCGACCCCCCGCGUCGCCGUGCCGCCUGCCUGCAUCCCGGACUCCUCCGUCCGCGUGCUGGCCUACAUCGCCCCGCACACCCGAACGCCGACUCCUGCGCCGCGCCGGCUCCACGCGUGCCCGCGUUGCCGGCCUGCCGCCUUCCACGGGCUCCUCCUCCACGGUGCCGUCCGUGCCGACUGCCCCGCCCAUGCGCGCCAGCCUCCACGACCAGCCUCCCGCGCGGCCCAGUCCGGCUCUGCCCGGCCGGCUUCACCCGAGUCACAGCUCCCGUACCGACUCCUCCGCACCGGCUCGUCCGGCUCCGUCCGGCUGCUCCGCCUCAACCGCCCGCAUGCCGGCUGGCCGAGGCCGGCUCCAGCUCCGCGCGCCUGCAUCCGGCCCCAGGGCCGGCCAUCCCGUGCUGGCCUCCACUCCCUCGCGCCGCCUCGUGCCGGCCUCCGCCCCGCCGACCUCCGGGUCGGUUCCGUCCAUGCCUCAGCACCUGCCCCGCCUCGCGGCCUCCUCCGCCUGCGCGCCCCGUGGUCGGCUGCGCCCCGCGUCGGCUCGCGCUUGCGUGGGCCGCUUCCCGCCUUGGCCGUGGGCGGUGGCCUUCGCUGGCCGGCUGCCCAGAGGGCAGAGAGGGGGGGGGCGGCUAGAGCCUAGAAGAGGCCGGCUGAUUAUCCCUUGUCGACUGGUAAAAGAGAGAAAAGUCAACAGCUGCUUCAUGCGGAGAUACAGAAAAAAUGUGUGUGUGCAUCCGGCUUCCCAGAGCCGGGUGAAGAAAAGGCCGGGUGCCCAUGGCCGACUGGCAGAGAAAAGUCACGCCGGGUGCCCAGCCGGCUUACUGAAAAAAAGGAGGAUCCGACUUUGCAGACUGCAGUCAAGCCGACUACUCCGGUCAACAGCCCACGUUGCCGCUGGGCUGACUGGUUCGUCUGCCCGCUUCACUGCCUGGCCGACCGAGGAGUCGAUCCAUCUGAGCACAGCCGACUGAUGAGGAAAAAAGAAGAAGACAAAGUAGUUGCCGGGAGAUCCGGCCCGACUGCUCAGCAUUCGGCCCGAAUCUCGGGGGCUACACCCAGCGGGUGCGCUGACGCGCCCCCGCGAAGAAGAAGACAAAGUAGUUGCCGAGAGAUCCGGCCCGACUGCUCCGCAGUCGGCCCGAAUCUCGGGGGCUACACCCAGCAGGUGCGCUGACGCGCCCCCGCGAAGAUUGCAGACAAGAGAAGAGUUUUGUCCGGCUCCGAGCAGCCGGCGGAAGAGAAGAAGAAGAAGAUAGGCGCUGCAAGAUGCAUCGCCGACUGGCCGGUCGAGCCUGACUGGCCAGGACCCCUUCGAGCACCCGGAGGCUCAACCUCUGUCUCAACUACACGAAAAUCAGUGUGAGCUCCUCACCCGCAUAUUUUUUGCACCACAAGAGCAUGGAUAACCCCGAGUGAUGCUCGGGGGCUAUCUUCACAUUUUAAUUACAGUUGCAUCACUGUUUGCCCCAGCGCCAGCCAGAGUUGGCCCGAGGGUUGGCCGCUUGGCCUGAGAUGUUUGUCCCCGCAGACGGCUUAGUAGCGUGCACGGUACCAAAGGCUCACUCUUAGUCACAAACCGCAUAGCGGCUGUCCGGCUAGCAAGAGUGAGCGCUGGAGGCCACCCACGCGAAAAACGUCCGGGAAGAAAAAUGGUUCGGGCGACCCGGCCGUUUUCCUUUACAAGUAUCUACUCGGUUGAAUCUGCUCCCAGACUCUGAGUACUGUACACUCCACUUCGCGGCCCACUCUCAGCCACAGAACGCAGAGCGGCUGUCCGUCGAGCGAGAGCACAAGCCAAAAAGCGGAGAGAACAUGAAAAAGAUUGAAGGGGGCUCGGACGAAACUGAGUCGACACCCUCCGCAUAAAACUUGCAAUGCUAAAAGCAAACAUUUGAUAUAUCUGCAUGGACUAACUUUGUCUUUUUUCUUGACAAUUUCCAUGAACACUCGCCAAAAAACCUCCGCCCAACUUUGCCAAGUUGCCCGGAGGCUUGGGGGCUACUGUCGGAGUAAUCGACCACGGGUACCCCGAGGACGGCAAGACGAUAUUUCAAGACAUCGGGGCUAGCAAAGCCCCUCAGUCCGACUGCCAGGCUGCUCCUGCCGGCUCCCCGUCCGACUGUUCUACCCGGCCGGCUGCCGACUAUGCCAACCAGCCUGCCUGCCGACUACGCCAACCAGCCUGCCUGCAGCCCAACCCGACACCGACAAGACACCGACGAGACGGCCAUACCGCGGACAAGACAACCGUACCGCGACGACAUCAUGUACAGUGUCACUUGUCCCCUGGCACUAUUUAUGAAGUGACCCAAGGGACAAGCAUGACAUGCACCAUGCCUUGUCCAUGCCACUACAUAGCUUAGGAAGUAAGCUAGCCCACACUAUAAAAGGGGCACACAUCCAUCCAUCCACUCACUCACGCCACAUUCAUUUGGCCACAAGGCCACUCACGGCCACAAGCCCUGGCCAUACUUGGCCACUAGAGCCAGCCAUACGCAUGCAUAUACGAGAUCAAAUGCCCCUGGCAUUGAUCUCAGAUACAGCUCCAGGAGCACUUUGUACCAGAUAUAUCAUAUAUACUCAGACAUGCAGGAGUACGGGUAUUAUCUCUCCGGAGAGCCCCGAACCUGGGUAAACUAGCGCGUGCUACUCGCAUACCCGCUCCCGGUCCUAUCAACAGCAGUCUUAC
rnacentral:lncRNA from 1 species